CUUGAGUGUAGGCGCCUUGAGGCAAGGCCCUCUAGACUGAAGAAUCUAGUAAGUCAACACGAUGGCCAGUGCCCAGCUAAAUCCAAGCAACCCCUGGCUCAGUGGAAACGUACCUCGUACUCCACGAAAGAUUAGGCUGGACUGUGGGACUGUCUUGUCCACAGACAAGAAGACGGCCUUCUCGGAAGGAAGCCGGAUCCUUUUCCUGAUGAUCCACAUGAACUGAGCCACAGUGAUGUCAGAUGGGACCAAGAACUUCCUCUUGUCAAUGUCAACAAUCUGAGAGCCGAAGACAUUUUCCGCGAUCACCGGAAGCUGGUCAGUCUCUGCUGAAAGGGACAGAUGGAGAGAUGACCAGCUGGAUGGGGAAAUCUCUGCACACCAUACGUCCUGACGAAGACUAGAAUCAAUUUUGUGUUUAUGUAAUUCUCAGAAUUUGAUAUUGAAAACAAUAAAGUUAGAAGGAGAAAAAAU
rnacentral:lncRNA from 1 species